GCCUUUGCAGCUCAGCUGGUUAGAGCGCUGCACCGGAAUAACAGGGCCGCAGGUUCAAUUUCUACCAGAGGGCG